CACAAGAUGCGAAGUGAAAAUUGAGUUGGGUCAAGCUGCUGCUAAUGCUGAGCUACCGUAACACAUUAAAAUUAUCUAGUAAUUCCUCCUCGCCUUCAAUUAGUGACCUGGCCGGGCAGGCAGUCAAGUCCAACGGUUGUAAUUCACCCAUCAGCGCCAGAGUUGAAUGAACCAGGCCAACAGCGCAAACCAAAACCAAAACCAAAUCGGAGUUGGUCAGGUCUGUUAAUUAGCCAGAAGCGCAGGCAAAACAGAGACCCGAACCCAAAAAUGCUAAUAAUACUGAUGCUAAGAGUCAAUCAAUCAUUUUGCAGUUUCACAGUGCAAAAAACACUUACACACAUCUAACCAUCCCAGCCAUCCAUCCACCCAAUGAGGCAUCUUGUGCCGAAUGAACCAAUUCCACGGAAGUUUUCAUUGCGAUUCGACCACCCAUUGCUGACGCUGCAGUUACCAGAUUCAGAUACAAAUACAUUUGAUAUACUUUAGAAACAGUAAGAAAAUUGUUGCAAUCUAUAGAUAAUAUACAAAAGUUUUUGUUGCUUAGUACAAGAAUAUAAUAAAU
ensembl:ncRNA lncRNA:CR43859 long non-coding RNA:CR43859